CCUGGGCUCUCUCUAACUACAGGAAGCCCCGACCAGACACCGACCAGGUGCUCUGACCGGCGCGCACGCUUUACUGGUUUACUGUAAUACACCGUUACGUCAAUUAUAAAUACGAGUUAUGCUCCUUUUUGUUACCGUUUACACUCUUUUGGUGUGCGCACGUCUCGCGGCAUCCGGGCCCACGAAAAGAUCGUGUUCCCGCAUUCUAGGCAGUUUACGUAAUCCGGGCCCACGAAUCAAGGAACUGAGCCGUCGUUUUCUCAGCUCAGCUCUCCCGUAACUAUCGCUCCCGCCGAACCCUAGCCAAAUCCGCCGCCGUAUGCUGCUUCUCCUCGGCGCCCGGCGAACCCUAGACUAACCGCCGCCGUCGCAUUAAGAUUCUCCCCCGCAGUUCCCCCGCCGUCGCAUUCUCCUUCACCCCCGCAGAGACCCGCCUUCUCCGCCGCACGCCCUCGCCUUCUCCGCCGCAAACAGGCCGUGGCCUUGUUUUUCGUCUCCGGCAAGGGUCCCGGAUUCGAGGAGGCGGUUGUGCCGCCCCUGCGUUCUCCUACUCGUCAGAGACCGAGACCUCGAUCUUCUCCACCGCGUCGGCCUAACGGCGAGUCCCCUACCCCGUCGCGAGGUCCGUCCUCAACGUCGAGUCCCCGACGCAUUUGGCACUGCCCCGCGUCGCGUUGGGUUGUCCCCUGCACAGCUGUAUCGGAUUCAGCCGCCCUCCAGGCCCAUCCACAUUCCGGAACAUCAGUGAUGAAGAACGUAGACCGACCACCUUCCAAUCCAAAACGCAUCAUAAUCCAGUCUACUCAGGAGUGCUUCAGCGUUGACAUACCCCGUGCUCCGGCGGGGACUGUUAGACCCGAGACAAGGCGUGCUGCUGAUGAGGAUGAUGACUUUAUGCCAUCAUCCAAGAAGCGUAACUUGGACGACAGCCCUGGUAAAGUUUUGAAGAAGGUAGUCACUAAGCGGCGGAAAGCAGUGCCCCCACCCCGACAGCAGAAGCUGAACGUCAGAUGCAACCCCCAAGAUGUGUUAGUAAGCAUACAGAUAUUAAAUGACAGACAACAACAAGCAAUUGCACGUAGGGGAUUUUCUAGUAUUCUUGAUAUGAGACUGGAUGCACUCGGCAGCAGAUCACACUUAGCUUGGCUGAUGGAAAAGCUCGACCCCAAUGACAUGACAAUUCGAGCUGGCCCUGGAAAGGAGCUGAAAAUAACAAAGGAUACGGUGCACCUAAUUUUGGGUUUACCGAAUGCUGGGGGAGGAACUGCAUUGGGCAUCGAUGAAGCUGUUGUUGCCAACAAUUUGAGAGCUGAACUUGGGCUAUCGAAAGAAGAUUUUGGGGUUACAGCUCAACAAGAUCGUUUGAGGAAAGGUUCUGACGAUGAUUUAAGCAUCAGAUGCUUUUUCUUGAUAUUGUUCAAUAGGUUGUUGUUCCCUACUGCCAGCUGGGGAAUAACGAACCAUGAGGUUCUUUUAACCGAGCAGAUGGAUCGUUUCCACCAGAUUGACUGGUGUCAGCUUAUUUUCAAUGAUUUAUGCCAAGCUGCCAAGAAGUGGCAUAACAGGAGUGUUACGAACGUUUCUACAACCAUCUAUGGAUGUUCCAUCGUUAUUCUUCUGUAUUAUUUGGAUCAUUUGCAUGACUCAGCGGCACCCCUGAACAAACGUGGAACACCACGAAUCAAAUACUUUGAUAGGAAUAUUAUUCAAGCCCUGACAAGAGCUGACAAGGGCAAGAUACGCAAAGGAGAAGAAGCAUUUGGACAUUGCUCGUUCCGAAGCUCCUCAGAGACCUGCUACACAGAUGUACCACCCGUUCAUGCACAAUUCAAGCAUAAGACCAGGACCAACGCUUUUGAUGUUCCUCGUCCUGACCCAUCUGGACAGCACUCAAUUCACAUCGAACUCCCGCUCAUCAGGGAUUUGAUAUCAAGCAAGCUUAAUUAGCUUCCAUCCCGCCACCGCAUGGGUUUCAUAGAGAAGCUGUCACAUUUUGAUGCGGAGGUUGGUAAGGCGUGUUCAGUUAUUAAACAGAAUCUUCAGCAGAUUGUUGAGAAACAAUUCAAUCUAUCUGAUGUUUUUGGCGAGUUAAUUGAUGAGGUCCUCCGUGCCGAGGCGGGUGACAACGAAGAUGCUUAUGAUGUGCAGAAAACCACAUCAAAAUCAGAUGAUAUUCUUCCCCAGACAGCUGAAGGAUGUACGUGUCCGCCCCCCCCAACUGUACCCGAUAUGUCUACUCCAGUUUCUCAGCUGGAUACGCAGUUUACAGACACACAGAACAAAACACCUACAACCUCAGUGGGUAAACAUGGUGACGGUGGCAAGAACAUGCCGACCAAUACAAACGUCACUCCUAAAGCAACACCACACAUGGAUCCUGACGCGCCGAUAUUUGAUGCGACACCGCAAAUCAAGUCUACUGGCGGCGUACAACAAGUGGCAGAAACAGACUUGCCUGACAGUGGUCCAUGCUUUGAUCAGACUCCAUCUGAACAUGUUUAUGUUGAAACCGAUCCAGCUACAAACACUCCACAGGUUGGCCAGGCUUCUCUUGAUUCGGAGAUGCAAACUGUGUUAGCUCUACGCGAAUAUUUGUGUGGUCUGCAAUCUGACACCGGCAGGACCAUAAUAGAUUAUGGUGAAUAUUCAGCGACAUGUUCUGACAUAUAUGAAUCUUUUGCCGAUGGGAAGUGUCUCGACAAUGGAUUCAUGCAGUGUUUCAUCCAAUGUGUUAUUCAUGAUGCAAAAAAUCAGCAGACUUCCAUGAGUUCAAACAGUUUGGUUCUUGAUGUUAAUGUUGGGUCAAUACUCAACUUUGAGGAACAGGAACGACAGUCGCAAUCCUCAACCUUUUGAUGAAUCUGUACUCCACACACUUCUAGACAAUUCAUUGCCUGAGACAGAUGAGUUGGACCAAUACAAAGCGGCAACAAUCCUAUUUCAUAAUCCAAACACAAUUCCUUUUAAAUGUAACAUAUCACAUUGUUAUGCUUUUGUAAGUUACCCUGUUAAUUUUAUGCUUUUUUUACACGGUCAGAUCAUGGUCCCCAUGGUAAGCAGGGGGCAUUGGUCAUUGUAUGUUGUCAACAAGGUCAAGAAGUGCAUUCAUAUUUUAGAUUCCAACCCAUAUGGACCAACACUUGGUGGAACUACAUGGAAGGACUAUCAUUUUGCACAUUUGGGCUCAGGUGGCAGAAAGUUACCCUGGGCUAAGGUUAUUAUGAGCAGAUUAAACAAAGCAAUACAACAUGUGCGGCCCAGUUCAUGUUUUCCCAAGUUUGGUAACUUCACAAUUGACUUGUGCCAAAAUUGUCCUAACAUGGUAGCUGGAUCAAAUGACUGUGGUUUUUAUGUCAUGGGUUACAUUCUAUUUUAUCAAUGCGACGAAGGAUCUUUGCGGUCAGACAUAGAAGCAGGCAACACCAGUGAGAUACGGUCUCUUGCGCUGCAUUACAUCACAUUCCACCCGAAGAACAAAGCAUUAUCGCUGCUCCAAGACAUCCAAAGAUUCAAGGUCUAAAGGAUGUAGUUUAGUUUGGUCAUGUAAUAUAUUUUGUAUACAAUGGUUCCCUAAACUCCAGAUCAGUCAUGUGUGUAUAUUAUGGCCAAAGUCCGUAGACGUUUCUUAGUUAUGUCAUUGACAACUUUGGGAUCAGCUUUUUUCUAAACUGGCAUGUUGUUCCAACCUGUUUGAAAUGUAAUGUCUGUUUCUUGCA